CGGACCUUGGAGGCCGGGUGCAGCCCCGUCGGCUCCGCGCUCUCGGCAGAAAAGGCUUUUAUACGCCCCCUGCCCAUCACUUGGAUCUGAUCUGAGUAAGGGGGGGAUUUUUUUCUGGAAGUACCCCCCCACCCACGGUGAAGGAUUUGAGGCUGGACUCCAAUCGAGGAGGAGGCUGGGCGCCCCCCACCCCGCGCACGCCUCCCGAGAGCCCUGGAAGGCGCAGCCCCGGGGGGCCCCCUGCACCCCCAGAGGAGGCAGCGGCGUGACAACCACCAGGCUCCCCGACCCAAGCUCUCACCCUUCACUUGUUCAUACAGCCCUGGAAACAGCUGCUUGCUUUACAGAUCAGCUCUGGUUUCCGUAUGGUCCAAAGCAUCCCAAUUCAGGACUUGGGAACUGUUUUUCCCUCUUCACGGAUUGUGUGAAUCUAAAAGGGCUAUUGCCCAGUGCCCUUCACCAAGGUGGCAUCAUUCACAGGCCCAUCAACAAGGCACAAGUGAGGGUGUCUGUUUCCAACACCCUCGCCCCCCUUGGCAAGGAUGCAGCAUGUCAGGAGGAAGCAAAUCUCAAACUCAGAUAAACUUGCCAGUAAUUUCAGCGCAUGAAACAUGGAACGUGUCGAGGCCAGAGGAUGGAAAACACUCCGGUUUUGAUAAAAGGAGGUCUGCUCGCCUUGGAAUCCUCCACCCUGCUAGUCAGCAGACGCAAAGAUUUAUCCAGAGAGGGGCUGAUGAAUUGAGAAAACAGAAAUGAGGCCAAUCCCCCGACUCAACGGUGACCCAUGAAUGACACUCAAUAAACAGUGAUCGAAUGGACCAACCAACACUAUCAUCACCUCUGACUAGGCCUCCAUCUGAAAUUGCAGAAACCCUCUAUAGCUGCCGUGACCUCCAGUUCCCAUUUCAGACAGGCUGGUAUCCAUGAUGUCACAUGAUAGAAGAUGAUUCCAGAAAAAGACUGGCCAAGAGGCUCCUGGACGGAGCUGUGGCAGACAAGACUGGGUGUGGUUUUUCUUUAAUUAUUGUACCUGUUUUGUCUGUUCUUUCUUGGCUCUGUUCACAUCCCUAUCCCAGCACCAGUGCAGGAAAACAAAACAAAAACAAAACAUUAUCGCAGAGUUUGAGACAAGAUGGCUGGCUGCUUCCCUCUCUGCUUGUACUUCAUGCCAAAAAUGUUCAUGACUUGCCUCGGCCACAAAGGUAAUAAUAAAAUCAGGCAGUCUGGUUAUUUGGCUACUAAUUUCCUUCUUCGUUUUUUGUUUUUUUUUCCUCCCCGUUUCCUUAAAUUAAUUCCAGAGUUCCUCCAGAUUUCUCGUUGCUAAGCUAUAAAAUUCCAAUUUCUCAGCGCCCAUGCUGAUUGGCAGGGAGGCUCCGGGCAGUUCCAAUCAGAAGCAGGUUGCUGAAAGGAACAUCCACAUCGAGGCUUGCCCCGGGGUAUUGGAAUUUUCUCCCUGAUGUUAUGAACCUUCAAAGUCUUUGUCUAACUGUGCAAAACCCAUUCUCUUGAUCUUGUCUGCCUCUCUCUGGAGUGCAGGCUGUUGGGGGGAUGCCAGAGGUCCUGGAAUUUCCCACUGGUCCUGGAGGAAUAGGGAGUCCCUGGAUCUCCAGGUUGGGGUCAGCCCACGGCCUGUCCAUGGUUGACCAAAGAUGACAGCAUGGUGCCCUGCCAUGGGCUGGGACACGCCUCAAUCCUCCCCUGACUGACCUCUCCCGUGCCAUCUCUUAAGCUUGGUGAAAGGCUGAAGGGGGUUGAGGAAAAGUAGGUGCCAUUGGAUGGGAGGUUGUUGCGGAGAGGCUGCAUUUGUAAAGGACUUUAAAACAUGUAGACGGUAAGGGCAUCAUGGAGGGCCGUUCUGGUGUUUCACCUCCAGAAUCCUGAUGCAAGCAGCCACCGUGAACCGAGCUCCUACUUUGCGCCAGAAACUUUAUUUUUUAAACCUCUUUAUUGAGGUAUGAUUGACAUACAAAAAGCUAUCUAUAUUUAAUGUAUACAACUUGUUGAGUUUGGAGAUAAGUAUACACCCGUGAGACACAGAGGACAGACUGGUGGUUGCUAAGGGAGAGGGGGGUGGGGGAGGGAUGGAGUAGAAGUUUGGGUCAGCAGAUGUGAGCUUUUAUAUAUAGAAUGGACAGACAACAAGGUCCUGCUGUAUAGCACAGGGAACUAUAUUCAAUAUCCUGUGAUAAACCAUAAUGGAAAAGAAUA